GAGGGCAAGCCCCUCUCCGUUUUCGCAGAGAAGGACCCUGCCAACAUCAAUUGGUCUGGUGUUGGUGCUGAGUACAUCGUCGAGUCCACUGGUGUUUUCACCACCAUCGACAAGGCCUCUGCCCACUUGAAGGGCGGCGCCAAGAAGGUUAUCAUCUCCGCCCCUUCCGCUGAUGCUCCCAUGUUCGUCUGCGGUGUUAACCUCGACAGAUAUGAUUCCGAGUACCAAGUUAUCU
rnacentral:misc_RNA from 1 species